rnacentral:rRNA from 1 species
CAAUAGCGUAUAUUAACGUUGUUGCAGUUAAAAAGCUCGUAGUUGGAUUUCUGGAGGGAGCGUCGGCCCGUAUUUACGAGUGCGUGACGUCUCUGUCCAUCCUUGCGGGAAGGCACGGCAUUGAUUUGUUGUGUCGGAUCGCAUCAUUUACUGUGAAAAAAUUAGAGUGUUCAAAGCAGGCUUUCGCUUGAAUACAUUAGCAUGGAAUAAUAAGAUAGGACUUUGGUGUUAUUUUGUUGGUUGAGCCUAAAGUAAUGAUUAAUAGGGAUAGUUGGGGGCACCUGUAUUGCGUUGUCAGAGGUGAAAUUCUUGGAUUUACGCAAGACAAACAGCUGCGAAAGCGUCUGCCAAGGAUGUUUUCAUUAA